rfam:Trichobilharzia regenti genome assembly, scaffold: TRE_scaffold0034180
AAAUAGGCCCUAAUAAGGGCUAUACACAUAUAUAUCUAUAUGUAU